rnacentral:rRNA from 1 species
GACGAACGCUGGCGGCGUGCUUAACACAUGCAAGUCGAACGGUGAAGCGCCUUCCUUUUUGGUGUGUGUGGAUGAGUGGCGAACGGGUGAGUAACACGUUAGUAACCUGCCCCCUUCUUCUGGAUAACCGCAUGAAAGUGUGGCUAAUACGGGAUAUUCUGGGUCUGUCGCAUGAUGGGUCUGGGAAAGAUAUUGUUUCGGUGGGGGAUGGGCUCGCGGCCUAUCAGCUUGUUGGUGGGGUGAUGGCCUACCAAGGCGGUGACGUGUAGCCGGCCUGAGAGGAGGGUGGACGGCACUAGUGCGGAGGAGACGCGGAGACGACUACUAGGGGCGGCAGCAGUGGAGAAUAUUGAACAAUGGGAGGAAGGAUGAUGCAGCGCCGCGGGGGGAGGGAUGGAGGCCGUCGGGUAGUGAACCUCUUUCGCGAGUGAAGCAGGGUUGCCUAGUUUGUGGGUGGGUUGACGGUAGCUGGAGAAGAAGCGCCGGCUAACUACGUG